GGGCGCGUAGCUCAGUUGGUUAGAGUACUUCCUUGACAUGGAAGGGGUCACAGGUUCGAACCCUGUCGCGCCCA
rnacentral:tRNA from 1 species